GAUGAACGCUGGCGGCGUGCCUAAUACAUGCAAGUCGAGCGAACAGACGAGGAGCUUGCUCCUUUGACGUUAGCGGCGGACGGGUGAGUAACACGUAGGUAACCUACCUAUAAGACUGGGAUAACUUCGGGAAACCGGAGCUAAUACCGGAUAAUAUUUCGAACCGCAUGGUUCGAUAGUGAAAGAUGGCUUUGCUAUCACUUAUAGAUGGACCUGCGCCGCAUUAGCUAGUUGGUAAGGUAACGGCUUACCAAGGCAACGAUACGUAGCCGACCUGAGAGGGUGAUCGGCCACACUGGAACUGAGACACGGUCCAGACUCCUACGGGAGGCAGCAGUAGGGAAUCUUCCGCAAUGGGCGAAAGCCUGACGGAGCAACGCCGCGUGAGUGAUGAAGGUCUUCGGAUCGUAAAACUCUGUUAUUAGGGAAGAACAAACGUGUAAGUAACUGUGCACGUCUUGACGGUACCUAAUCAGAAAGCCACGGCUAACUACGUG
rnacentral:rRNA from 1 species